AUUGAACGCUGGCGGCAUGCCUUACACAUGCAAGUCGAACGGUAACGCGGGGCAACCUGGCGACGAGUGGCGAACGGGUGAGUAAUGCAUCGGAACGUGCCCAGUAGUGGGGGAUAGCCCGGCGAAAGCCGGAUUAAUACCGCAUACGACCUACGGGUGAAAGCGGGGGAUCGCAAGACCUCGCGCUAUUGGAGCGGCCGAUGUCAGAUUAGGUAGUUGGUGGGGUAAAGGCCUACCAAGCCUUCGAUCUGUAGCUGGUCUGAGAGGACGACCAGCCACACAGGGACUGGGACACGGCCGAGACUCCUACGGGAGGAAGCAGUGGGGAAUUUUGGACAAUGGGCGCAAGCCUGAUCCAGCCAUGCCGCGGGCGGGAAGAAGGCCUUCGGGUUGUAAACCGCUUUUGUCAGGGAAGAAACGCUCUGGGCUAAUACCUCAGGGUAAUGACGGUACCUGAAGAAUAAGCACCGGCUAACUACGUGCCAGCAGCCGCAGUAACAC
rnacentral:rRNA from 1 species